UGUCUGGUGACGUGGUUUGUGUGAAGUUUAUGCGAAAACGCUCACUGUAAAGAAUGUGUAGUGAGAUUGUGUGACGUGUGUGUUUGAUGGGUUUAGCACAGUGCCAAGUAGAAUGUCAACCAGUACCCGUGUUUGUUUUGACAAGUGCCUGGGGUAGAAAUAGUUCAUUGUGUGACACAAUAUUGUGAGAUGUCAUGCGCAGUGGAGGCCAAACGUUAGUGCAUAAUCGAGUCAUGUGUCUUUGGGAACAGGCGCGUAUCCUUUGGACUUAGACCUCCAUCUUGAAUUUAGGGAUUUCAAUAAAAUAUUUCAUGUGUUUGGAUAACUUAUCUUUCUAAUUGCCACUAAACAACGUCAACCUACACAACAGCAUCAUAUUGACGACGAUGUUUCUAAUAAAAUGGUGCUCAUCGUUCAUGUGUUUGGAUAACUUAUCUUUCUAAUUGCCAUUAAACAACGUCGACCUAAACAACAGCAUCAUAUUGACGACGAGGGUUGAUGGUGAUUUGGAUACCGGAACUUUCACAGGAAGUUGGGGAGAACAUUUAUGUGAUGCUGUCGACAGCUACUUUACACGCCAUCAUCGAGUGGACCCAUCAUCAAGUCCACCCAUAAUCGAGUGGACCCAUCAUCGAGUGGACCCAUCAUCGAGUGGACCCAGCAAGUGGACCCAUCAUCAAGUCGACCGAUCAUCGAGUGGGCCCAUCAUCAAGUGGAACCUUCAUAUAGUGGACCCAUCAUCAAGUGGACCCAUAAUCAAGUGGACCCAUCAUCGAGUGGACCCAUCGAGUGAACCCAUCAUAGGCAGAUCUCCUGCAAGAGUACUCGGCUUAAGGACUUUAAGAUUGUACCACCUUUAUUUGACAAAGCGUCUACAGGACCAGUACAAGAAAGCAAAAGUCUCUAUCACCCUACUGGACCAUUGAAAAAAAGCAGUUGUUUCUAUAUAUAUUCAAUAAUGCAAACAUCAAUUGUUUUAAAAAUCAGUUUCAGAACCUUAGGUCACUAGGAAGACACUGAUUAAAAGUAUCUUAUUUUUAUUUGACUAGCUUCACAAGAUUUUUGUUUGAAAUAAAAAUAAAAUUACUGUAUAAUCAUAAGCUUUUAAGCGGAAUAAGAAUAAUUAUGCAUAUACAACCUAGCUAUUUACAGAAUUUAAUAAUUCUUUCAGUUUUUUUAAGGAAGUCUAGCACGUAGUUUGAGGACUGUAUAGAUAUAAAUGUUUGAAAGGGAAGAAUGUCUGCUUUGAUGUGUCUCAUUGUAAUAACAUAACUUUUACGAUUGCUUAAAAUUUGUAUCAUUUUAAUUCUCUGUAAUCCCAAAUUUAUUUCAGCUCUACUUAAAACCCCAAAUUCCACCCCCCCCC